GUGUGUAAGUGCAGCGAUGCAUUGAGCUAACCAGUACUAAUGAUCCGUGAGGCUUAACCUUACAACACCGAAGGUGUU
rnacentral:rRNA from 1 species